CACAUUGGGGCCACCGCAGCAGCAGCAGCAGCAGUGAGUCUCUGUGCCCUGGGUGUGAGUGCCCCUGAGGAGCGUGGUCACUGGCAGACAUCUGGGACACAGGGUUUCUGCAGAGCACGGAGCUGGGCCGGCCUGGAAGAACACCACAGGCGGGAACCACUUAGUCGCUUUUCUAAACUGAGGCUGUGGAAGUGUGUUUCUGUAACAUGUGAGCACUAAAAGUUGCCCGUCUGCCAUAAAAUUCCUCUGCCUCUGUGCUUCAGGCUGGGAUGUGCCCUCCCCCGAGUGCUUAGAUCCCAGGCAGGAGCCGGAAGAAUCAGCACCUGCUCCCUCUGUCUUUGGGGUCCCCAGACUGGUGCUGGGGACUCUGUUUGCAAUCAGCAAAGAACCCUGCUGCCCUCCGACUUCCCACAGUGCCAGCAAGACCUACAGAAAGGGGGAGGGAGAAGGCAUGGGACAGAAGAGGCCUUGAGUCCAAAAGAAGUGGUCUCUGGGGAAGGACACACCUUGCGAAGCCUGUAGUUAACUGCUCCCCUCCCCCAGGCAAGGGCUCUCCCUCAGGGAGCCAGUCUGGCCCAAGAGGCCAGCAGUAACAAGGCCUGGCCCGUGGGGCCACAGAAAACCAACUUUGCCUCCAGAAUGUGCCCCAGGCAGCCAAAUUCGGCGGACCCCCAAGGCCGAGUGCAUUUCUCUAAGGAGCCUACUAUAAAGGCAGCCAGCUUUGGAGAUGGACUCCUACCCUGUGCUCCCACCAGGCCUGAACCAGUGACCAGGGGAGCAGAAGCAGGAGCGGGGAGCGGCCUCUCCCAGCCUACCCUGGGGAAAGGAAGAAGUCCACAGGCUGAGGUGGGAAACAGGCAGGAUGCUCUUGUCUCCUAAAUGCCUGCCUUCUUCCAGAUAGUGCGGAUUUAAAGCCCAGUCCCUGUCCCCCACCCAUUCACGCUGAACCUCAAAAAGGGAUUAGGAAGCCAAGCCACAGGCAUGUUUCAAGAACUGCUUGCUCUGGAAAUUACUGUAGAACUGCUCCCCUUGCAAGGUGCUGAAGGAAGCCCUGGGGUGGGAACCAGAGGCUCAGGGACACAGGGUGUGACCUUUCCCUUAGCAGCGUGGUUUGAGCCUCCUGCCCCAAGCGGCCUGCCGGGCAGUCAGCAGCACGGAGAGCCAGAGCCCAGUGAGCUGCCCAUCCAUCCCCAUCCACCCUGCCCUGCUGCCCCCCAACCACACUGCAAAGCUCGGCUCCCGAAGCACAGCACAGAGAAAAUGGUUCAAUCAACAUUCCUGUGCAACAGCAGCAACAAAAAAUAAUAUUGCCCUGCUUUCUACAUUCACGAUCUUUUAUUGAGUCGAAAGGCAAAUAUCAUUGAGUCAGACCUGAAUAGACAAACACAUACAGCAGUUGGUAAUGUAAUAUUUUGUGCUAAUGGUGUACACUGUAGAUACAACCCAAGAGGAGUAAAUUACAAUGCUAUCAAUAAUACAUCACAUCUGGGCUCUGGUUUCCCACUACAGCAGAAAGCGUGCGCUGGCAAAGGCUCUCCGAAUAUUAAAAGCCACACAUGCAACGGGACAGGGUGCAGAAAGCAGGAACUCUGCACCACUGUGUUCUGCGUUUGUCAUACAGGCCUUUCGUGGGGAAGGAGCCCCACUUCCACUUCUAAAUCGGGCACUAGAGGAAGACAUCCCACUCAUAUGCACAGCAGGGCUCUGCAGGAGAACGACCUACAGGCAGGGCACUGGUCUCCUGCUGUGUGGAGUGCUGCGUCCGUGUGGGGCCCCCAGCCUAUGUUAGUCGUCAGGGGUGUCCAGGCCCCCCGUGACACUGCCCCAAGGGCUCCAGGGAGCCCCGGUGCAGGAGGCAGUGUCCUGGAAAGACUGCGUGUCUCAUCCUCCUCCUGAUCCCAGCCUCCGUGUGUGGGACCUUGCAAAAGAGGAGGGGAGGGAGGGAGGGAGCUCCCCACCUGGAUGAGACACGAGAGACAUACUUUGGAAUUUAAAAUGUUCCAGCUACUAAAAUCCUGUUACUGCACCCAGUCGCGCUCGCUCCUCCCCAGGAGAAGCCUGGGAGGGCCACUGUUUGAGAAUCGGGAGGAAGUACGUCUACCAGGCCAGUCCGAACGUGGACAAAGUCGGUAACAUCUGCAGGAUGGCUAGUGGGUGCCGUGGCCUCGCGCUGGCCUCUAACACGCCCGACUCCGAAACAGGAGGGCUGGAGGCGCCGGCCCUUCCUGUCUCCGCUUUUCAAUCAGACCCUGAAUGAAGAGAGCUCAGUGGGGAGGGUGGCUCGAGGGGUCCCUUGGGCAAAACGGAGGGUUGCAGACAGCAGAUCCAGGAUGAAAAUCUCGGUCAGACAGAAAUAGGAGCUUCCAAAAUUGCAGACCUGAGCUGGCUUUCUGGACAGAGACACCGAUGCAUCAAAGGGAAAAAAUGUGAGAAAAGACCUUUCGUCUGGAGACCAGCAGCAGCGUCUGAAGGCUUGCCACAGCCCCCCUCCCUCCUCCCUGCAAUCCCUCACCGCCCUUUCCAUCCCUCCCUUUUCCCGGCCCCUGUCAAAGAGCGGAGGCGAGUGGGACAUCUGGUGGAGGGUAGGGGGAUUGCACCCGCAUUGCACACGUUCGCUACCAGAGCCCAGGAGGCGCUGGGGCGACGGGAAAUAGAAGGCAGGCGUCUCCCCAGAAGAACUGGUAUCGAAGUGGACCUUGGGGUAGACAGCGACCUAGAUUUCCCCUGUGCUCAACUGUUUUUGAGAAGAGACUGGUGGCUAUGAUUAAGUGUAAGUAGAGAAAACAUAGUCACACUGAGACAACCUUCAGGUGGGAUCCUACGGAAACGGAGCAGCAGGGGAAGUCGCCCCAGGCAGUCUGCAGACAGGAAGCUCCCCCUGCAGGAGCCAGCCAGGGCCGCCCUGGUGAGGAGGGGUCACAUCAGCCCGGCGCCUGUCUGAUUCAGCCGUGGGUCUCCGUGCCACCGCUCAACCUCUCUGAGACCUCAUUUUCUUAGCUGUCCACUAGAAAUAAUGGUAAUAAGGCAACCACUCACCGAGAGCCGGGCACUGUGUGCUUUGUGUAUAUUAAACCAUUGACUGCUUCCGGCCAUUAUAUAGUCUGAUUGAUGUUUCAGUUCUGUGGAUGAGAGAGGGUAACAGACGGGUCAACGUCACAGAGCUUGUCAGUGGCAGAGCUUGACUCUCCCUGGCUCUGGGCUCCACACUUGGGCCCGUUGCCCUACCCUGUCGCUUAACGUUGCUGAGAGGCUUAGACAAGGUGCUGUGGUUUGGAUCUGCGGUGCCCCCCAAAGACAGCCUGGGACAUUCCUGGGAGGUAAUGGCACCCUUAGGAGAGGGCCAGGCGGAAGGAAGCUGAGUUACUGGGAUGUGCCCUUGAGGGGAUACUGGGACACUCCCCUUCCUGCCUCUCUGCUUCCCAAGUGCCAUGAGGUGGUCAGUUUCACUCCAACAUGGGCUCCCUCCGUGAUGUUUCUGCCUUUCCAUGGGCCCAAAAGCAACUCAGACAACUGACCACAGACUGAACCUCUGAAACCAUAAGCCAAAAUAAAACUGUCCUCCGGGUAA